rnacentral:lncRNA from 1 species
AGACUAAGGAAAAACAAAAAAAGGGUGUGAUAUAAUAAACAGGUAAGUUGAUAGCCUCACUAGAUAUCCUGGGAGAUGGUGGAUAGACCAGGUUCAUAGGGAACCCUAUCGUGAACGUUGUCUCAUACCGGACAGGGUAUGGAGACUUGGUAAUUUGGUGCUCAUACUGGACGGGGUAUGGAGACGGCCCGCUUCACCCUCAUAUCGGAUGGGUAUUGAGGUUUAAUGUCUUGGCACUCAUACAGGAUGGGGUAUGGGGACAGCUCUGUAAUUAAGAUUGUUAAGGGAAAGGGUUCACGUGUAGCGGGGACACCCUAUGGAUCCCCAUAGAUACUAGUAGGCUGGUGAAACCAGAAAUGGUUACGAGUUCGUCUAUUGUUAAUGGAUAUGGAUUUUUAAUAUGUACUGUGAUGGUUGAUUAUGCAUGAAAUUAUGAUAUGUAUGAUAUUAUUGCUUCAAUAAUUUGUUUUCAGGAAUUCCCCAAUUGUAAGUAAAAGGGUAAAUGGUUUUAUUUUAAAUAAAUGUAUUGGUUUAAAUCUACUGCUCCAUUGGUUGUUUUGAUUUUCUACCAACCUUUACUUCUGUGACAGUGAUAUAGUGUGAUAUCCUUACUAGGCUAGUGUAGCUCAUUCCUU